rnacentral:misc_RNA from 1 species
CAAUUACAAGUGCUCCUACGCUCUAACCUCAUUCUCGGGGAAGGAGAUAAAGGACACUGUGGACUAAAAAUCCAUUCCCACCUUGUGUGUAUUGUAACAAACAACCCAUUUCACAUAUAUAUUUUUUUUUGCAAGACCGUCUGAAUGCAUCUCAUUAGCCAAUUUGUGAAAGCAAAGAGGAAAUAAAUGAAAUA